UCAAAGUGCAUAGAAUUAUUGCUGCGGUUAAAAAGCUCGUAGUUGGAUCUGUGCCAUAGGACGUGGUCCACCUUCGGGUGCGUACUACGCUCCUAGGCUUUUUGCUGGUUUUCCCGUCGUAGCCUUCACUGGUUGCGGCGGGUGGCUGGCGAGUUUACUUUGAGAAAAUCAGAGUGCUCAAUACAGGCGUAUCGCUUGAAUGAUUGUGCAUGGAAUAAUAGAAAAGGAUUUCGGUCCUCUUUUAUUGGUUUUGUGGACUGAGAUAAUGGUUAACAGGGACAAACGGGGGCAUUCGUAUCUCUGCGUGAGAGGUGAAAUUCUUGGACCGUAGAGAGACGCCCUACUG
rnacentral:rRNA from 1 species